rnacentral:lncRNA from 1 species
UUCAGAUGGCGCUGAUAACUUCAGAGUUUGCAGAAGACAUUUGUUCAGAGUCAGAGCUUCUAGACUUUACUUCAUGUUCAGAUGCUUCUGAUAUUUUGUAGUUUUGUCCAGAGUCAGAGCUUCUUGAAACGAGAUUUCACUUUAGAUGCUUCUGAUACUUGAGAUUUUGCAUCUGAUCUUGUUUUGCAUCUGAUGACAUCAUC